GAUUUCAACUGAAAACGUCAUCACCAACACAAUUGUAUAACUUAUUAAUAUCUAUAACUUUUAUUUUGGUCAUUUCUUCAUCCGAUAAAGUGACAGUAGCAUUGUUCAUAAAAUUUAGAUCUCUCUUAUAUGGUUCUGUAAACUAUAAGACAAAUGUAUAAAUUUUGUGAAAGUGUUACUAUCACUUUAUCGAAUGAGAAAUGACUAAAAUAAAAGUUAUAGAUAUUGAUGAGUUAUAAAAAUUUAUUGCUGAUGAUUUUUUCAGUUGAAAUC
rnacentral:pre_miRNA from 1 species